rnacentral:tRNA from 1 species
GACCUAAAGUAGUACUAAAUUGCAAGUUUAGUUUGGGAAAAUAAGUUUUCAUAGGUCUA